UACGUAGGGUCCGAGCGUUGUCCGGAAUUAUUGGGCGUAAAGGGCUCGUAGGCGGUUCGCCGCGUCGGGAGUGAAAACUCGGGGCUUAACCCCGAGCCUGCUUCCGAUACGGGCAGACUAGAGGUAGGCAGGGGAGAGCGGAACUCCUGGUGUAGCGGUGGAAUGCGCAGAUAUCAGGAAGAACACCGGUGGCGAAGGCGGCUCUCUGGGCCUUACCUGACGCUGAGGAGCGAAAGCGUGGGUAGCGAACAGG
rnacentral:rRNA from 1 species